rnacentral:rRNA from 1 species
AACGAACGCUGGCGGCAUGCCUAACACAUGCAAGUCGAACGAGACCUUCGGGUCUAGUGGCGCACGGGUGCGUAACGCGUGGGAACCUGCCCUUAGGUUCGGAAUAACUCCCCGAAGGGGGUGCUAAUACCGGAUAAUGUCUUCGGACCAAAGAUUUAUCGCCUUUGGAUGGGCCCGCGUUGGAUUAGCUAGUUGGUAGGGUAAAAGCCUACCAAGGCGACGAUCCAUAGCUGGUCUGAGAGGAUGAUCCGCCACACUGGGACUAGGACACGGCCCAGACUCCUGCGGGAGGCAGCAGUGGGGAAUAUUGGACAACGGGCGAAAGCCUGAUCCAGCUAUGCCGCGUGAGUGAUGAAGUCCUUAGGGUUGUAAAGCUCUUUUACCCGGGAUGAUAAUGACAGUACCGGGAGAAUAAGCUCCGGCUAACUCCGUG